GUCGGCCGUGCCCUAGCAGCACGUAAAUACUGGAGUUUGGGGAUGCCUCGUUGCUCUCCAGUAUUGCAUUGCUGCUUGAGCGAGGCCGGA
rfam:Ornithorhynchus anatinus chromosome 6, whole genome shotgun sequence.